UACGGGGGUGGCGAGCGUUACUCGGAUUUAUUGGGUGUAAAGGGCAGGUAGGUGUCCCACUAAGUUAGAAGUGAAAUCCUGCAGCUCAACUGCAGAACUGCUUUUAAAACUGAUGGGAUUGAGGACAGGAGAGGAGAGCGGAAUUCCCGGUGUAAGGGUGAAAUCUGUAGAGAUCGGGAGGAACACCUGUGGCGAAAGCGGCUCUCUGGUCUGUCCCUGACGCUGAACUGCGAAAGCUAGGGGAGCAAACAGGAUUAGAUACCCUGGUAGUCCUAGCCGUAAACUAUGAGCACUAGGUGUUGGGGGGUUAAACCUUCAGCGCCGUAAGUUAACACGUUAAGUGCUCCACCUGGGGACUACGACCGCAAGGUUAAA
rnacentral:rRNA from 1 species